ensembl:miRNA cja-mir-1258a cja-mir-1258b
GCUCCUGUGGCUUCCACGACCUAAUCCUAACUCUUGCGAGUCCGCAGGAGUUAGGAUUAGGUCGUGGAAGCUACAGGCGC